rnacentral:lncRNA from 1 species
CGUUGGGCCAGGCUGGGAAGCAGUGCUGUCUUUUGGCACCGUCUGAUCCGGGCUGAGGGAUUGAAGGCGGUGGUCGCUAAGCUAGGUCUAAGACGGACAGCCAGGGCGACAACCAGUCUCUCGCUACGUGUCCCCAGCUUCCCUGUUUCCGAGCGCCUCUCAAGGCGCACGCUCUGGACUUGUUCAGAUGGGGGAAGGGAACUGGUCUGGAACUCCCCACUAUUCCCGAGGUUCCCACGCCUCCAGAUCCGGAGAGGCCGUUUCGCUCCAGUGGCCUGGCCCCCCUGCCCCCUCAGCCUAGCCGUUCUUGAUCGUAAGUGCUAAAAGGAACAAAGAAGGAGAAUUCAAGAAUCCACACAUAAGCCCAAACCCUGACAGGAGCCUUUUCCUCUCCCAUCUCCUGCCUACGCUUCCUCCUAGUAGCUUUUUAACUGCUGGCGGUUAAGUUACUUUGACUGGUUUGAAUUAAACGCAAAAUAGGUUUAGGCUGAGAAAUGGGCCAGACCCUUGGCGAUCUGAGAAAGAAAGACUGAGUCCGGAUGUCAAGAGGCCUGGGCCUCACGAGGGAGUUUGUCUGCUUAUUUGAACACCUCAGAGUUGAAGAUCUUGUUACUGCUAUUUCUGUGCUGGUGAAUCAGUACAGACCUUGAUGCCAAGGUACAUAGUGUCAGAACUGAAUUGGAGGACACCCAGCUGGUGUAUACUGCUUCAUGUCGGGGAGAAAAACCCCCACACCUUUGGUCACAGAAGGCUUCUGUGUUGAUGUUCGUUGUGAUGAUGUGAGAGCAGAGGAAAAAGAUUAAACCAUCCCUUUACUACCAGAAGAGGAGAAAGAGAGGCUUAAGCCAGGCUUUGCCCUAGAUGUAUCCUAUAAUAUAGCUGAAGCUUCCCAGUCCUGCUGCUAUGACCUACAGUCAAUGAAAGCCCCAGAGGUCAUAGUU